rnacentral:rRNA from 1 species
AUUGAACGCUGGCGGCAUGCCUUACACAUGCAAGUCGAACGGCAGCACGGACUUCGGUCUGGUGGCGAGUGGCGAACGGGUGAGUAAUGCAUCGGAACGUGCCAUUGAGUGGGGGAUAACGUAGCGAAAGUUGCGCUAAUACCGCAUAUUCUGUGAGCAGGAAAGCAGGGGACCGCAAGGCCUUGCGCUCUUUGAGCGGCCGAUGUCAGAUUAGCUUGUUGGUGGGGUAAAAGCCUACCAAGGCGACGAUCUGUAGCUGGUCUGAGAGGACGACCAGCCACACUGGGACUGAGACACGGCCCAGACUCCUACGGGAGGCAG